GGGAAGGGAAGGUGUAAAGGGAGAACCCACAUGAGAAACCAGUGGCUGUUUGGACUGCCAAGUGUCAGCAGGUGUCUGAAAGCUGCUAUUAUGGAAAUAACUGUCUGCUAAGCUGAGCACAGUGGGGAGUUCUCAGGAAGAUGAUUCUUCUGAACAUGCCUGUGAAAUGCUGCUGAAAAUGGCUACACCAAAGCAAGGAGCAACUCCUCUCAUACCAUCCCAGCACAUCAACUGACAGAGUUGCAAAACCUGAAUCCUUAAAAUCCUGACUGAAUUGA